rnacentral:rRNA from 1 species
AUUGAACGCUGGCGGCAGGACUAACACAUGCAAGUCGAACGAGUGGCGGACGGGUGAGUAAUGCCUGGGAAACUGCCUGAUGGAGGGGGAUAACUACUGGAAACGGUAGCUAAUACCGCAUACCACAAGAUGAGCCCAGAUGGGCUGAUCCAGCUGGUGGGGUACCGGCUCACCAGGGCGACGAUCCCUAGCUGGUCGGAGAGGAUGACCAGCCACACUGGAACUGAGACACGGGCCAGGGUCCUACGGGAGGCAGCAGUGGGGAAUAUUGCACAAUGGGCGCAAGCCUGAUGCAGCCAGGCCGCGUGUGUGAAGAAGGCCUUCGGGUUGUAAAGUACUUUCGGCGGGGAGGCGUUACCCGCAGAAGAGGCACCGGCUAACUCCGUGCCAGCAGCCGCGGUAAUAC